UUGCUAUCUGCGAUAUGGAAGAUUCGAACCUGCCGCAGGUUCGGGUCUCACGUAGUGAGACAAUGGAGCCGCUUGCGGCGACGGCCCGAAGGGCGAGCAAAGCGAGUCAUCCUGCACGACCCACCA
rnacentral:sRNA from 1 species